CUGCUACGUCAGUAUUGUACUUAAUGAUGUUAAUAAUGCACUGAAAUCUACAGAGUUAAAAAAAUCUUUUCAGAAAGCAAACUUGAGGAUGAAGGUCUUAUGAGUAGAGAAAAAUACAAUAAAAAGGUUUACUAGGAAAAAGUUUUAUGCCAGAGUGAAGUCCACAUAAAAGAAGUAGAGCUAAUAUCAGUGGGGAAGCAGGUAACUAUAGGAGAUAUGAUCUUAAGCUAAAAGAAAAAAGAGGGAAGUAGAAAGUAGAUAAUACUGCAAAUAUUAUUGACACAAGAAAUCAUAAUGAUACUGACUAUAUAGGGGAAGUCUAUGCAGUGAGUUCUAGUCUUAGGCAAACACUUUGGGUUCUUGAUUCUGUUUUAACUUUCCACAUGUGUCCACAUAAGAUUUCC
rnacentral:lncRNA from 1 species